rnacentral:rRNA from 1 species
UACGGAGGGGGCUAGCGUUGUUCGGAAUUACUGGGCGUAAAGGGCGCGUAGGCGGUCUAUUAAGUCAGAUGUGAAAGACCUAGGCUUAACCUAGGAGGUGCGUUUGAUACUGAUAGGCUAGAGAAUGGUAGAGGAAAGCGGAAUUCCUAGUGUAGAGGUGAAAUUCGUAGAUAUUAGGAGGAACACCAGAGGCGAAGGCGGCUUUCUGGGCCAUUUCUGACGCUGAGGCGCGAAAGCGUGGGGAGCAAACAGG